GCACUGCGAUUGCCCUAGUAACGGCGAGUGAAGCGGCAGCAGCCCAGAUUUGGAAUCUGGCCCCCUUGCGGGGCCCGAGUUGUAAUCUGCAGAGGAAGCGUCUGGCGCGGCGCCGGCCUAGUUCCCUGGAACGGGACGCCGUAGAGGGUGACAGCCCCGUACGGUCGGCCGCCAAGCCUGUGUGUCGCUCCUUCGAAGAGUCGCGUAGUUUGGGAAUGCUGCGCAAAGUGGGAGGUAUGCUCCUCCUAAGGCUAAAUACCGGCCAGAGACCGAUAGCGCACAAGUAGAGUGAUCGAAAGAUGAAAAGUACCUUGAAAAUGGGGUUAAACAGUACGUGAAAUUGCCAAAGGGGAAGCGCUCGUGGCCAGACUCGCGCCCGGCGGAUCAUCCGGCUCUCCCGCCGGUGCACUCUGCCGGGCUCGGGCCAGCGUCGGUCGGCGCCGGUACUGAAAGGCGGUGCGAACGUGGCUCCCUUCGGGGAGUGUUAUAGCGCGCCGCGUAAUGUGCUGGUGCCGUCCGAGGACCGCGCUUUAUGCAAGGACGCUGGCGUAAUGGCCACUAGCGGCCCGUCUUGAAACACGGACCAAGGAGUCGCCCAGAGGCGCGAGUGUGCGGGUGACAAACCCCUGCGCGUAGUGAAAGCGAACGCUGGUGGGAGCCCUCACGGGCGCACCACCGACCGAUCCUGAUGUCUUCGGAUGGAUUUGAGUAUGAGCGUCUCUGGUCGGACCCGAAAGAGGGUGAACUAUGCUUGGGUAGGGUGAAGCCAGAGGAAACUCUGGUGGAGGCCCCGUUUGGGUUCUGACGUGCAAAUCGAUCCAUAAACCUGGGCAUAGCGGCG
rnacentral:rRNA from 1 species